rnacentral:lncRNA from 1 species
GUUUAUUUUAGCAUUGGUAUUUUUCGUGGACAUUGACGGGAACACUGCGCAUGCAAGAAGACCGAGCACCGUGUACGAGUGACCUCGUCUUAGUUAAAGCGGAGAUGAUAGGGCCGACCCGGGAAGUGAUGCAUUGUCAGGUUCUAGACUUUCCCACAAGAACUAGUGACCACACAGAUAAGAAGUAUCGGAGUCGACACCGAACAUUUCAGACCUAGGCAGUGACUAUUGACUUGGUCUUUCUUUCCUGACAAACAGUUGCUGGUUCCAGUUUGCUCGGUGCUCCAGCUGGAAAGUACCUUGGGAGAUACUCUGACGGCACUCCUUGGAGCGAGGUGAAUGUUGACCAGCCACGACAGUUUCUGGUGACCAUGAGGGGCUGGCUGGGACCCUGCUCACUCCAGAGUCUGCAGACGGGAUCUUGGAAGAACUGGCCAAAGUCCAUGAAAGGCUGGAAUUCUUGCCGCGGCCAGCUGUCUCACAUCUUCGUGUAGUGCCUGGUCUACGCCAGAGAGAAAACGGUAAGCGCUUAUCUUUGUCCCUUCUGUUCCAAAUUCAGACUAGCAGGGGGGAAACGGUUGUAGAAACUAGAUGUUUGAAUUGUGACUCUUGUGGAUUUGAUUCUGGGCAGCCAUUUGUUGACCCUUUGCCUCCAGGGACUCCCCCACACUCUUGCUGUCCUGGUCCUCCUGUGUGUCUCAUCUCUCGCCCUGAAAGCUUGGCGUGGCUUUCCACCACGGGGCGUGCAGGUUAUACACUUGUGUGUGUAGGGCUCAGUUGUCAGGCUGGGGUCCCCAGGAGCGUGGCUGGACACAACUGUGAGUUGCACCCCAUUUGUGGCUAAUCCCGCCCC